GUCUUUCGGUCGUUGUCUCUCCUGCGCUCCACUGGCAACGCGGCCGUAAAUCAACCGGAAAAACACGGGAAACGGCUCAUUAGCUGGAGGCAGCUAACAGGAGAGGGGGGUGGAGGAGGAGGAGGGUAGGAACCAGAGCUCAACCCCUGACCCUGUGACCUCUGACCUCUGACCUCUGCAGCGGCUGAUCCAGUCCAUAUGAGAGACUCCUGACUGUGACCAGCCAUGACCUUUUUCGGCAGCUCUCAUGACCACAUACACAGAUUCAGUAGUAAAAUGGCAUUGUUGUUAUCCUGGUGAUUUGCUCAGGAUCCAGUGCACUGCUAGCACCACCUGAAACUUGAACCCCCAUGAGCUCGGACAUAUUUUUAUUCAAAGAACUUCUCCCCUGAGUGUGGGAAUGGAAAUAAAAACAGAACCUGAGACAAUGGCUACAUGUUACAUUAGAUUUCCCCAAGUUCCUAUAAAAGAGGUAAUUGUUAACA